GAACUCCAUGUGCGUAAACACUACCCUCCACUCCACCCUCGUUUCCCACUUUGCAGCUAAGCCGAAAGAAGGCACAAAAAGCCAGAAGAAAGAUGAAUGGGUGACAGCUGGCAAGAAGGGACAUGCUGGUCAAAUUCCACAAGAGAAAUUGGCUGUGAAUCAGAGGUGGCAAAGCCCACUUCCAAGACUCCAAAGAGCAGCUUUUAUUCUUGCAAGAAAAGUUAGCCAGGAGAGGGACAAGUGAGAAGUCUCCUGGAAGAAAGAGGGGGUCGUUAUUCCCAGCAGAGCGUGAAAUUGGUUCUUGGGAGGCCUUCCCUAUAGUAAGUGACUAUUUUGCUGGGCAGGAUUGGAUUAGCUCAGGGGUAUUUAGCAAUCUAUAUAUCUCGCUGGGUCCUGGCACUUUACUGAGGAGUAGGAAGAUUAAUUACAGGCACCUGUCUGCUCACCCCACGUAAUGUAACGUAACCAACACUGGAAGGUUCCUCUCAUUCCAGAAACUGCUCAGUCUCCCGCCUCCGUGAAGUCUGCCCAUCUGUCUGGAAAAAGGCAGUUCAGGCCAUGUUUUUCCCAAGCGAUAGAAAAAGCCAGUCUGAAAGCAAGAAGUUGGUCCUACGAAGCUGGAAGUUUCCUUGAGAGAUAUUUCAAUAACCUGUGUCUUCGAAAGUCUGGGAAUUUUUCUUGGAGUAUACCUGCACCAGUAUAUGCCCACCUUGAUUUAAUCGUAUGGAGGUCUACAAGUCUUGUUCAUAAAGUGUGUCAAGCUCGAGGAAGAGAAGGAUAUACUGUGAUGUCCCCACUUGUGUUCCUGACAUUGGAUAGAAUCUUGAGAAGUUGAUUUUAGAUCUUUAUUCUUUUCCAAUAUAACCAUUUAAUGUUGUUCAUUUCCCUCUAAGCACUGCUUUAGCUUUAUCCUGCAAAUUUUUACCUUGUACCAUAUAUCCAUAAUGAUGUUUUUUGUUUACUUGCUCUAUAAUGAAUGAAGAAUUUUGAAAUAUCCUACCAUAGUUCCGGACUUUGUCUUUUUCUUUUCAGAGUUUUUGUGUCAUGUAGUUUGAAGUCCUGUUAUUAGGUGCAUACAUAUUUAGGAUUUGAAAUGUCUUCUUGAUGAGUUGAUCCUUUAUCAUUAUGAGAUAUUCCUCUCUAUCCCUGUUAAUAGUCCUUUUUAGUAUUAAU